AUUGAACGCUGGCGGCAGGCCUAACACAUGCAAGUCGAACGGUAGCACAGAGGAGCUUGCUCCUUGGGUGACGAGUGGCGGACGGGUGAGUAAUGUCUGGGAAACUGCCCGAUGGAGGGGGAUAACUACUGGAAACGGUAGCUAAUACCGCAUAACGUCGCAAGACCAAAGAGGGGGACCUUCGGGCCUCUUGCCAUCGGAUGUGCCCAGAUGGGAUUAGCUAGUAGGUGGGGUAACGGCUCACCUAGGCGACGAUCCCUAGCUGGUCUGAGAGGAUGACCAGCCACACUGGAACUGAGACACGGUCCAGACUCCUACGGGAGGCAGCAGUGGGGAAUAUUGCACAAUGGGCGCAAGCCUGAUGCAGCCAUGCCGCGUGUAUGAAGAAGGCCUUCGGGUUGUAAAGUACUUUCAGCGAGGAGGAAGGCGUUGUGGUUAAUAACCGCAACGAUUGACGUUACUCGCAGAACAAGCACCGGCUAACUCCGUGCCAGCCGCCG
rnacentral:rRNA from 1 species